CCUACGGGAGGCUGCAGUGAGGAAUAUUGGUCAAUGGACGAGAGUCUGAACCAGCCAAGUAGCGUGAAGGAUGACUGCCCUAUGGGUUGUAAACUUCUUUUAUAUGGGAAUAAAAUGUUCCACGUGUGGGAUUUUGUAUGUACCAUAUGAAUAAGGAUCGGCUAACUCCGUGCCAGCAGCCGCGGUAAUACGGAGGAUCCGCGCGUUAUCCGGAUUUAUUGGGUUUAAAGGGAGCGUAGGUGGAUUGUUAAGUCAGUUGUGAAAGUUUGCGGCUCAACCGUAAAAUUGCAGUUGAUACUGGCAGUCUUGAGUACAGUAGAGGUGGGCGGAAUUCGUGGUGUAGCGGUGAAAUGCUUAGAUAUCACGAAGAACUCCGAUUGCGAAGGCAGUUCACUGGACUGCAACUGACACUGAGGCUCGAAAGUGUGGGUAUCAAACAGGAUUAGAUACCCCUGUAGUC
rnacentral:rRNA from 1 species